rnacentral:rRNA from 1 species
CACGUAGGGUCCGAGCGUUGUCCGGAAUUACUGGGCGUAAAGCGUGCGCAGGCGGUUGGGUCAGUCGCUGGUGAAAGCCCCACCGCUCAACGUGGGAAUGGCCAACGAGGACGGCCCGACUGGAGGGCAGGGAGGAGGCCGGUGGAAUUCCGGGUGUAGUGGUGAAAUGCGUAGAGAUCCGGAGGAACACCAGAGGCGGAAGGCGGCCGGCCUGGACCUAACCUGACCGGCUGAGGCACGGAAGGCGUGGG